AGGCCGAAGUCGGUGAGGUACCUUUUGGAGCCAGCCGCCUAAGGUGGGAUAGAUGAUUGGGGUGAAGUCGUAACAAGGUAGCCGUAUCGGAAGGUGCGGCUGGAUCACCUCCUUUCUAAGGAAUAUUACGGAGACUACACUGGUUGUUUUAUACUUUGUUCAGUUUUGAGAGGUCUACUCAAUAAUUGAAGAGUCAGGUUUUGACUUUGACAUUAGAGGAUACUCUCAAGAGAAUACUUUGUUCAUUGAAAACUGGAUAUUUGAAGUAAAUUAAGUAAUACAAACCGAGAACACCGCGUUGAAUGAGUUUUUUAAUAAGUUCAAUUGCUUAUUUUCUUGAUCGGACUUCUAUCGCUAGAAGAAAGAUCAAAACCCAACCGCAAGGUUGAUAAGGUUAACUGAAUAAGGGCGCACGGUGGAUGCCUUGGCACUAGGAGCCGAUGAAGGACGGGACUAACACCGAUAUGCUUUGGGGAGCUGUACGUAAGCUAUGAUCCAGAGAUUUCCGAAUGGGGAAACCCAACAUCUUUUAUAGGAGGUUACGUUUGCGUGAAUACAUAGCGCAUUCGAGGUAGACGCAGAGAACUGAAACACUAAGGGUACCAAUACAUAGCGCAUUCGAGGUAGACGCAGAGAACUGAAACAUCUAAGGGUACCACC
rnacentral:misc_RNA from 1 species